GUAUGGUGCAAGCGUUAUCCGGAUUUACUGGGUGUAAAGGGAGCGCAGGCGGAAGGCUAAGUCUGAUAUGAAAACCCGGGGCUCAACCCCGGGACUGCAUUGGAAACUGUCAAUCUAGAGUACCGGAGAGGUAAGCGGAAUUCCUAGUGUAGCGGUGAAAUGCGUAGAUAUUAGGAGGAACACCAGUGGCGAAGGCGGCUUACUGGACGGUAACUGACGUUGAGGCUCGAAAGCGUGGGGAGCAAACAGGAUUAGAUACCCUGGUAGUCCACGCGGUAAACGAUGAAUGCUAGGUGUAGGAGGUAUCGACCCCUUCUGUGCCGCAGUAAACACAAUAAGCAUUCCGCCUGGGGAGU
rnacentral:rRNA from 1 species